rnacentral:rRNA from 1 species
UACAUGGGGGUGCAAACGUUGCUCGGAAUUAUUGGGCGUAAAGCGCGCGUAGGCGGUUACUUAAGUCGGAUGUGAAAGCCCUCGGCUUAACUGAGGAAGUGCAUCCGAAACUGAGUAGCUAGAGUACGAAAGAGGGUCGCGGAAUUCCCGGUGUAGAGGUGAAAUUCGUAGAUAUCGGGAGGAACACCGGUGGCGAAGGCGGCGACCUGGGUCGAGACUGACGCUGAGGCGCGAAAGCGUGGGGAGCGAUCCGG